UACGUAGGGGGCUAGCGUUGUCCGGAAUCAUUGGGCGUAAAGAGCGCGUAGGCGGCCAGAUAAGUCCGGUGUGAAAGUCAAAGGCUCAACCUUUGAAUGCCGCUGGAAACUGUCUGGCUAGAGUCCGGGAGGGGCGAGUGGAAUUCCGGGUGUAGCGGUGGAAUGCGUAGAGAUCCGGAGGAAGACCGGUGGCGAAGGCGGUCUGCUGGGCAGUUUCUGACACUGAGGCGCGACAGCGUGGGGAGCAAACAGG
rnacentral:rRNA from 1 species